GAUCCCGCCCACCGUCGGGUAAUCGUCGGUUCGUCUGAACCGAACUGCAGUGCAGAGCCGGAAUGGGGGGCUUGGCCCCGGUCCAGCACGGUCAAAAUUAGCUCUCUGUUGAAUUACAUGCAGUCAGCCAGUGGAAGCGGCUGGGAUCCCGACGCCCCAGUCCCGCAGCCUUGUACGGGGUGCCCAAACCCCGCAAGGCUGCUGCUCGGGUCCGCCGUCGUCCGAGAACGCCUUUCCCCACAGCAACUUUAACAGCAAAGGACAAGAACAAAGACUUUAUCUGUUGUUUCUUCAACAUGACACCAACAGGAGCAAUGGGGGAUCCCAUUAGCGCCGACGGCUGUGUUCCUGAACCCGGCGGCGCGGAGAGGAACGACCACGAAAGAUCGACAUUCCACCCGUCCGACGCGGGAUAGAGAACGGCCCUCUGGGGAAAUUGUAUCCUCAUGUAUAUUCUUUUUUUAUUUCCUAAAUCAUGUAUAUCCUUAUUUUUUAUGGUUAUGGCGUGCGGUACAGAUGAAUUAUGACGCUGGGGCUAUUUCCCCAUCUAUGUGAUUAAUAACAUUUUAGAAAAACCUGGGACUCUAAGCCUUGAUGAUAUGCUCUUCGGAGGGGGCGGCAGUAAAGACACACAGCACCUCAAGACAGACCUGACAGACUGGAGCUUCACUAAAGACCCACAUGUCUGUGUUUGCAAACUCCACAGGGGCCCUCGGGGGCCCGGCGGCGGCGGCGGCGGCAGCAGCAGCACGUCUUCCACUUGUCCACUUCUACUUUAUACGGCUGGACUCUUUCAUACCUCUGUGAAUUCCUGUGAACAAACCCAUCGAGAAAUGUUCAGUGUUCUGUAUCCGCACGCAAUGUGACAAACGCUAGAGAUCGAUGUGUGUUUUUAAGGGACAUCAACUUCGGGGGUUUCCGCGCGGACGAACAGAACUGGUGUCGAAACAAGCGAAAAAUUGGUGAAGGAACCGCACACAAAUUGAGGACAUUUCCAACACGCACGCAAACAGAUCGUUUAGUGUAGAGAUGAUUUUCGAUCAGUGAAAAACAAUUAAAUGUAGACGACGGAUUUCACGUAGAAAUUACACUAAAUAAUUCCCGCUCGGAAAUUAAAACAGAGUUCUCCCAUUUAAGCCAAUUUCACCACAAAUAAAGUACAUCGCAAGAAAAUAGCGAUUUUCUAGGCAAGUAACGCAUUGCAUUUAUUGUCUUGUUUGUUUUUUUUUUAAGUUGAAAGACAGAAAACGUAUAUUCUUGCCAAACACACCCGCAAAACCUUUUAUUCGGAACUUUGAUUAUUUAGUGUACAGAAUCGUACAAAAGACACGGAAAGUGAAUCCGAUUUCUGUUUUCGGGUUACGCACCGCUCUUAACUAUCGAAUCGUCCGGAAAUUGUUCCGUAAGGUCUUUUUUUUUUUUUUUUUUUUUUUUUCAAUUGCACUGAAGCGAUGCAACGCACUUGUGACACACAAUUGCCAAACGUAAACUUUAAGGGUUUUUUUUUUUUUGCAACUUUUACCUACUUAAAAGUAUUCGCAAUCAGAACUAGCGACGUCCGCUAGCCCGUGGCCAUUUUGAGUAUCGCCAAAUUGAUCAAGUCUAGCGCCACCAUUCACGGAAGCACUUUGACGUCCCUCUCGGAUGCAUCCAUACGUCUCCGUCGCUAAACCACGUCAACGUCAGUCAGUACUCACACCUUACAGUAUUUACUAAGGCUAAGAGUCCCCACUUCUUCUCAUGCAGUUACUAAAAAAAGCUACAGAGCUCAUCUUCUUUGUUAAAUUUAAAUUUUUUGCUUGUUAAGUUUUGCUUUUGAACUUUUUGUUUUGGUUUUAGUUGCUUUGCCAGUAUAUUAAAGUGUAAUCAUGUACGUUGUGAUAUAGAAAUAGCUGUAGAGACGCAUUGUUUCCUUGUGGUAAGUGACUGAGAUGCUGCCACGGAUUUGAGACACUGAUGAAUGGUGCUAUUUUGGACUUUAAUCUGCUCCUUGGUAAGGAAGCUCAGAUGGGUUUAUUUUAUAUUUUCAUGUUCGGAAGAGGUGUUGGUACUUUGUUGUCUGGUUGUCGUAACUCGGAUCGGAUCGACUUUACUCCCCCUUGUUGUUUCUGUGUGGCUUUCUCAUUGGACGGAAAAACAGAUUUGCCGAAGAGUUGGCGUUUUGGUUUUUUUUUUUUUUUGGUUUUUACUCGAAGGUGAUUAUUUGGGAAAUUCCGAAACUCUCUUAGACGGUCGGAGCAAUCACAAAACUGCAAUUCGUAACACUAUCUACCCUUUAACGUAAAGGACUAAUUCGAGGAGUAGUUACGGUUCCUGGCACUAUAGUCACUUCAGGCAAUAGCGAACUCUCAUACUCACGGGACGGGUUUCAUGUUUUCGUUUUAGCGACCAACUUCUAAUACAUCGAGGACACGUUCAAAUAGACAUCGUGAAGGACGCGGUCGCUGUUGUAGUUCGCCGUGCACGGUCCCAGGCCGACGGAGUCUAUAUAGUGUACAUAUACAGGUCAGAUUUAUCAUCCCGCACCAGUCUAACGAGGACAGGAACGCUCAUCCGAGUCCUUCGAUGUAUUUUCAAAGGCAAAACAUGUAGCAGCAAAACCAACGUGGUCUCGUGGACGCGUCUAGCGGCUGGUUUUGUACUCUACUUUUCUGCGUCUUAGGAUGAGAACCAAAAAGCUUUAUAUUUAUUCGUUUAAGUAGCACGGUAUCGUCAACUCGGUAUUUGCAGUUUUGUCUUUGCUUCCAGUUCACAUACUUUUACGAAUCCUAACUCAGAGUCCGACUGGAAAGCCCACGUUAGUUUCUUAGUCUUCCAUUUAUUUUGUCCACUACCCAGUGGGGACCUUCCCGGCUUGCUCUAGUCUUUCCUUAGUGCUUAUCGAUCGCAUGCUCUCCGCUCUUCCUUUUUUGUUUGGUUUCUGAUCUGAAUGACUCUCCUUCGCGGUUUCUUCUCAUAGAUUAGGUAGAUGCCAAACGUGUUGUAAAUAGCCAGUGAGUAGCUUGUAGUAUCUUGUAUUAUUCUGUAAUAACUGUGUAUGAUUGGUGUACAAAACAUGGAGUGUAGCCUUGUCAUCUUUGUAAGGAUGCACAGGGGUUUCAUGUUAUUUUGCAACUUAAGCUGUAGUUGAAUAAAUAUGCAAGCUCUCGCUA